rnacentral:misc_RNA from 1 species
GGCUGUUCCCCUCUGGAGGUUCAAACCUUCACACCUACAGGGCCCAGGCUUUCGCUUGAGGCCUUUUUUUUUGCCUUGC